CAAAUCCACACAUGCAUCAGUGGUAAUAUGAGGCUGGUCGAAACACUGAAUGCCCAAUUUCUGAGGAGUCUUGGAAGGAUACUGCCUGGAUAUAUCUAGGGAAGUGGAGUGGGUCAAAUGGGAUCUACGAGUAUUUCAUCAAUAAUGUUUACUGAUCUGUUAUUUAAGGAAUUUUAAUGAAAAUGAAGUCCGAUGAAGUGAACUGUUUCUAAUCUGAUUUCAUUCAGUCAAGCUAAGCCCUUCUCUACUAAACUAAAGCCCAGGGAAUCUAACAAAAAAAACAAAUAAGUAGUGAUCAGUAGACUGUAGGAAAACUGCAAGUCUGCAGGCCUGUGUCGGCUGCUAAUUUCAUCGGAGCCCUGGAUUCUCACAUGCCUCAAGACGCAGAGCUGUUCCUUCCCCAGAAGAAAAAGCGGCUGUCGGAGCUUUCUCUCCUUAGGUCAGAAAGUAUAACAUGCCAAGCCUGGACUUGUCGUCGAAAGUCUUGCUUAUGGCUUAUUUGCCCAUAUCUGAGAAACAACAAAAGAAUCACAGCUGGAUUUCCAGAUGCUUCUAAUAGAGGAAAAAUGCAGAGUAAAAAACUCCCCAAGACAAGCUCAGAAAGGAUGAUGUUCACCACGAUUAAGUCUCCAGUCAGCCAUGUGAG
rnacentral:lncRNA from 1 species